rnacentral:rRNA from 1 species
AGAGUUUGAUCCGUGGCUCAGGACGAACGCUGGCGGCGUGCUUAACACAUGCAAGUCGAACGGAAAGGCCCUGCUUUUGUGGGGUGCUCGAGUGGCGAACGGGUGAGUAACACGUGAGUAACCUGCCCUUGACUUUGGGAUAACUUCAGGAAACUGGGGCUAAUACCGGAUAGGAGCUCCUGCUGCAUGGUGGGGGUUGGAAAGUUUCGGCGGUUGGGGAUGGACUCGCGGCUUAUCAGCUUGUUGGUGGGGUAGUGGCUUACCAAGGCUUUGACGGGUAGCCGGCCUGAGAGGGUGACCGGCCACAUUGGGACUGAGAUACGGCCCAGACUCCUACGGGAGGCAGCAGUGGGGAAUAUUGCACAAUGGGCGGAAGCCUGAUGCAGCAACGCCGCGUGCGGGAUGCGGCCUUCGGGUUGUAAACCGCUUUCGCCUGUGACGAAGCGUGAGUGACGGUAAUGGGUAAAGAAGCACCGGCUAACUACGUG